AGGACGAACGCUGGCGGCGUGCUUAACACAUGCAAGUCGAACGGAAAGGCCCUGCUUUUGUGGGGUGCUCGAGUGGCGAACGGGUGAGUAACACGUGAGUAACCUGCCCUUGACUUUGGGAUAACUUCAGGGAAACUGGGGCUAAUACCGGAUAGGAGCUCCUGCUGCAGUGGGUGGGGUUGAAAGUUUCGGCGGUUGGGGAUGGACUCGCGGCUUAUCAGCUUGUUGGUGGGGUAUGGCUUACCAAGGCUUUGACGGGUAGCGGCCUGAGAGGGUGACCGGCCACGAUUGGGACUGAGAUACGGCCCAGACUCCUACGGGAGCAGCAGUGGGGAAUAUGCACAAGUGGGCGGAAGCCGUGAUGCAGCAACGCCGCGUGCGGGAUGACGGCCUUCGGGUUGUAAACCGCGUUUCCGACCGUGUGACGAAGCGUGAGUGACGGUAAUGGUAAAGAGACACCGGACUACGUACGU
rnacentral:rRNA from 1 species